CAGUAGCCACGGGAAAACGUAGGUGGCGAGCGUUGUCCGGAUUUAUUGGGCGUAAAGCGCGUCUAGGUGGUUAUGUAAGUCUGAUGUGAAAAUGCAGGGCUCAACUCUGUAUUGCGUUGGAAACUGUGUAACUAGAGUACUGGAGAGGUAAGCGGAACUACAAGUGUAGAGGUGAAAUUCGUAGAUAUUUGUAGGAAUGCCGAUGGGGAAGCCAGCUUACUGGACAGAUACUGACGCUAAAGCGCGAAAGCGUGGGUAGCAAACAGGAUUAGAUACCCCCGUAGUCCCUGUCUCUUAUACA
rnacentral:rRNA from 1 species